CAGAAACUUGUUACUUAAGUUCUGAUCUGAAAAACUUCAAGAGCUUCUGAUGUUCCUGAAAGACAAUGAGCAAACUAUUUUUCGAAAUAGUUGUUAGCAGAAACAUUAAAGAAUAUUUGGGUUCUGAUUCAUGAAUAUAGGAAUAUCAAAAUCAAUUAUGUUUCUCUCAUUUCUCCCAAAUUACGUUUCUCCCCCUUUGUCAUCGAUCAAAAAGACAUGGACAAAAUAAAAUGAGAAAACAAUAACAUUUCAUUGAUAAUGCCAGAAGUACAAA
rnacentral:lncRNA from 1 species